CAGUAAAGCAGAGGGUGAGCUAAUGCAAAGAGGAAUUGAGCAGGAAGUGGAAAUGGUCUCUCAUGCACUGACAGCAUUGAGGAGUCCACUCACACAAUCCACUGCUGAAAGUGGGAAUGAGAGAAAAGAGGAGGGCCUUCUCCCAGGCUUCAGAAUCCCAUUAAAUUAUUCUUCAGGGGCGCCAAGAGCUCUAGCCAAUUCUCUGAAUUUAUACACUGAGCAACUAUUACCAUAACAAUGGAAUGGAUCCAUGUGCCAGGUGCGCAUGCCAAAUGCACAAAUCACGGUGUUGAUAACGUUGCUAUGUAUCAGCCAUAAGACAUGCUUUUAAAAAACACUACUUUUUGAAGCCUACUGUUCAACGCAACCAAGAGUCAGCCUUUAAUCCUUGUUGAGAAUAUUCCUGUCCCUGGAUGUUUUUUGCUCUCCUCACCCCCAUCGAUAAAAUCUGACAUGGUGCCUGUCCUGCAGAGUUCUAAUCCAUCGUUUGCAAAUAUGUGGAAAUCACAACUUCCCCUGAUUUGAGUUUGAGCUCAAAACGGUAGAAUCACCAUGAAUUUAGAAACUUAUUUUUAAAAAUACGUUUUGACAACCCUGCAAGUUCCCAGACACAGCUUUUUCCUGUUUUUCGGUAAUUUCCUCAAUGGAUAUCCACAGGAAAAGAAGGAAACAUGGAUGAAAACAGAAAACAACACUCGGAAAAGGGAAGCCACAGUGAUGGGAGGAAAACCUGAAAUAAAUGUAAUUCAAGCUACAAAUCACAGAGUAAGUGAAGGUGCCACCCACAUACACGUUUGCCCCAAUCUCCUCUGAAGACCCCUUGCAUUUGGAUUGCAACUGCUUCAUUUCAAACAAUGUUGGUGACAAGAAAACAGGAGCACAGCACAGACUGCAGUGAGUCACCUGCCGAAUCCCGCAUUAUUUUUCAAUGCAAAUUUUUUUCGAUGAAAUAAUAAUAAUAGAAAGGAACAUUACCGGAGUGCAAAGCUAUAGCUAAAACAUCAGUACUCAAAACAUCUGCCUGUUUACUCGAGCUCUUUGAAAAGUUAGGCUGGAUCAAAGGAUAGCUCAAAGGGUAUCAUUACUGUUAAACACCAACAACAGUUUGGCAAUAGGUUUUUCCCCCUCAGACUUAGAGAAAACAAAAACACUAAAAGCUAGGCCAUACCCAGUAUACCAGGGAGUACCUUAGUACAAAGGCUGCUCUGUCUUUGUGUAUCAAACCCACAAAUUCUGUGAAAAGGAAGCAAUUACAUGGCAAGAAUAACAAAGAUUCUGAACACAAAAUUAUUUAUUUGAUGCACUGACAAUCCCAAGGGCUCAGAGCAACAGUGACCAGAAUCCAAAGAACCAAAGGCAGUCUGGGUAGGUGGGGCCUGCCCAGGGUCACAUUCCUCUUCUAUACUUCACUGCUCUCCUGCCCAGACCUAAAGGUCAAAGCUCAAGCUAGGGAAUCUGUGUUUUCUAGAGAAAGUGGUUUCUUUUCAGGAGACAAAAUUAUUCUGACUGCUUGGAGCCCCAUCUUGUAUACUUAAAUACAGACCAUUAGUGAAAAUGACCAAAGUCUGCCAUAUUUUAGAGAGAGAGAGUUAUCUGGAUUUAUAAUUCCAUCCACAAUAUGGUACCCAUAUAUAUCCACGUGAGGUGCACCCCUCCAAGUUUACAUGUGUUAAAUCACCUCAGAUAAAUUUCUCUAAGCAAAAUAUAAUUGGUAGGCAGUCUGUUUAAGUAAGCUAUGGAGCUCAGCAACAACUGCUACAGAAAACAGACAACCAUUCUCUUGAAAUAAAAAAUGAAAUAAUGAAACAAACAGGGAAGGAAAAUCCAGCAAAGGACACUGAAUCUGAAUGCUAGGGGAAAUGUGCCGCUUUACAUUCAAUAUUUGCAACCACACCGCUGAAAAGUGUGAUUCAUUGCCACUAUUCCCUUUUCAAAUGGCUUUACCAGAUAUCAUAUAUCAUUCUGAAGUCAUUUAUCAGCUCCCAUUUUCUAAAGGGCAUAUUAUGAUCAAAACUACAGCAUUCGUCUAAACCGAUUCCCUUUACAAUUAUAAAAAACCUGAACUGCUACAUUUAAUGGGAUGCAAGUAUUUAUUAAAUCUACAGAGGGAGAAAAGGUUAUAGUACCGUGUGUGCUACAAUUUGGUUACUCUGGCCUUCUCUCCAGUCUAUAAACUAAUAUGUGGUGGCAAAUCUGAAUACCCUAUAACAUAUAUUCACGCUGAAUGAAUUUGCAAAAAAAUCCGACAAAUUAUGAAAAAUAAGUAAGCCACAGAUCUCCUAGCUGCUUUUAUAGGUACAUAGGAGAAAGGAAAACUUCAGCCCUUCCCUCCUCCUCAUUUUUCCAAUCUAAAUCAGCAACAGAUAUAAGUAUCCAUAUAUUUUUCUCUGUUAGCGAAUAGCAGUCUGCAGGGGUGGGGUGGGUAGGUUAGAGCAGCUCCCUCCCUCCCUCCCUCACAAACUGCCCUAGGAAGUAGAUUAGGGAGACUGGCCCACCCAGUGAGCUUCAUGGCUGUCAAGACUGAACCCAUAACCAUCUUUCAGGUCAGGAGCUGAACCAAUGAUUCACAUUCAAGGAAUCCAUGGAAACACAUCAAAGUCAAGAAGACUUGCCCUGCCACAAUUAAAAAAACAACAGAACUUUUAUUACCCUCUCCAGGAGGGUCCAGUGCCACCCUGGGUGGGGUGGGGGGCAAUGUAGACUAUGAGAAAUACUUCACUACCAGGAAGAUGUUCUCAGUUGAAGUUCUAGCGGUUCACCACAUGGGGAAGCCACACACAGAAGCAAACAUUGCCUGGUUCUACUCCCAAUUGCUGAGGAGGAAUAUCAACAAGGGUCUGUCACUCUAACCAGUACAUCAAAUGUGCCCUUCUUUGGGAUUUGGCAGAUUGAAUUUUGUUUGAAAAUGAGCUGUCUUUACUUACAUAGGGCUCACCCUAGCUUUCCAGGUGGCUUGUACAAUUCACAGAGUGAUAAAAAUAGAAACAACAAUCAAGAUUUUUAAAAAAUAUAUACACCACACAGCAGGAAUGUACAAUGAGAAAAUCAGCAGGAUCAUAAUAUCAAAUAAAAAGGCACUUUAUUUGGUGCAUAACAUUGCCUGUUCUACACCUUGCUCAGAGAACUAACACAGCAAUGGCUCUCCAUACCAAGCAAUAAUAUUCCAGAUGGUGAGGGAAGUGUCAGUUCUGCAAUUUAGUUUCUUCUAAAGUCAAAGAUGUUGUCAGUAGUGGGGGUUGGACAGCACAACAAAAGCUUCACUUUUCCCUCACACUUUACUUUAGAAUUUGAAUGUUAACGUUAAUAGGAUUCCAAGACAAAAGUCUCCUUGCAUCUGCAUCUCCUGCUAAUUAUUUGAGAGGUUCUUUUGCCCCAAAUAAAUUCCAACUUUUGGAAAAAAAACCAGCAUAUUCUUCAUCUACAGAACGAGUAAGAAAGGAGGCUACAGAAUAAGGAAAACCCACAGUGAGGCAAUUAUGUUGGAGAAAAGAUACAGUAGGGAUAAUAAUAAGAACAACAAAUGAAAUUACCAAAAGAGCUAAAUUAAAGGAAGUCAUGUAUCAGUCUAUGGUGUUGGUGAAGGGCUGCUGAUAUAUUAUCAGGUUAAUAGCUUGAGCAUUGUGAUCUGUGUUAAAGGCUGUUCAGUAAGCAAUUUUACAAGUUCAUGGAAUCUUCCCACUAUAGCUGUUCUAGCCAGCAUGAUACAACACUACAAGGACACAUAAAGUUUAAUGGCGGUGGAUGGGAACGUACAAAAUGGUGGCCCCAUACAGGAUGGAAAUCGGACAUAAGUUAUUUAUUUUUUGUUUCCAGCUUUACUUGCAUCAGGGGACACUAGACAGCCAGCUGUUCGUAGUUAUUAGCUGAAUAGACCGACCACUUCCUCUGUUUACAGUAUCAUAAUAAACCCAGACUGUGAUCUUAUACAUGGGGCUGGAGGGACCCAAAGGCACUUUUUUAAAAAAAGAAACUAUAUAUUAUAGAGCUUCCAGGCUGUUUCUUUCUUUUCAUGGUCCCACUGAAUAAUCAGAGUUAUAUUUACAGUCAAGAUUUGUAUUUAUUUAUUCA